UACGUAGGGUCCGAGCGUUGUCCGGAUUUAUUGGGUUUAAAGGGUGCGUAGGCGGCUGAUUAAGUCAGUGGUGAAAGGCAGCAGCUUAACCUGUUAGCACGGCCAUUGAUACUGGUUAGCUUGAGUACAGUCGGAGGUAGGCGGAAUUGAAGGUGUAGCGGUGAAAUGCAUAGAUAUCUUCAAGAACACCUAUUGCGAAGGCAGCUUACUAGGCUGUAACUGACGCUGAUGCACGAAAAGCGUGGGGAUCGAACAGG
rnacentral:rRNA from 1 species